rnacentral:sRNA from 1 species
AUAGUUUAAUUUGUCUCGGAAAAAUACUCAAAAGAAGUGUAGAUAGAGAUCAGAUUAGUUAUCUAUAUAUACAUUUUUGUAGACGUUUUUGAAGAUAAUGUUGAAGAUUUGAGCCAUAAUUCAACAAUUAAUUCAAAUGGGUGGGUAUAACCCGGUUUAACUCUGUUCGGAUCUUGGAUAACAUGUUUAAUUCUGUUCUGAUCUUGGAUAACAUUAAUUUUUGGAAAAGUUACCUAAAAACUAAUAAUUAAAAAC